CAGAAAGUAGUUUAAUUGGAAAACGCCAGCUUUGGGAGUUGGUGAUGAAGGUUUAACUCCUUUCUUUCUGA
rnacentral:tRNA from 1 species